rnacentral:rRNA from 1 species
UACAGAGGGGGCAAGCGUUGUUCGGAAUUACUGGGCGUAAAGGGCGCGUAGGCGGCCUGCUAAGUCGAACGUGAAAUCCCCGAGCUCAACUCGGGAACUGCGUCCGAUACUGGCAGGCUUGAAUCCGGGAGAGGGAUGCGGAAUUCCAGGUGUAGCGGUGAAAUGCGUAGAUAUCAGGAGGAAUACCGAUGGCGAAGGCAGGUCUCUGGGCUGACACUGACGCUCAUGCACGAAAGCGUGGGGAGCAAACAGG